GACCAAAGCCCUGAGCUCUUGUGCCCAAAGGGGAUCGCCAGGUUUUUUGAUGCGGAUCGAAAGGGACUGGCCCCGGAGCCUACAACCUGACGCAGGUGGGACUUGGGGAAAUGUCGAGAAACCUAGGUCUGGGACUUGAGUUGGCUUCCAGGGCACACAUUCUUGUUCAGAAGAAACUCAUUGCAAAAAUCGGGAGGUGACAGGCAGAUGAAGUGUCGGCGCUUCGCCUCGGGACUCCAGUGCAACCUACGGGGCUUUUGGAAAGGAGGAAGUCGAUGACUCUGCAGGGACUCCUCUGACCCAGGAGCAGAUGGCGCUCGUCUGGGCACUCCCCAGGAGAAAAGGUGCAUCGGGAAGCAGCCUGACUUGUGGAUGGUGGACAAGGUGGAGGAGAGAGAAUUCCUUGGCAGCAGCAUUAUGAACAAAUGCAGGGCUGAGAAACAGCAUGGUGGCCUUGACUAAGUUUAUGGCGACAGCAGAUAAGGAAACAGCUGAAUUUAUGUCACUUGCCCAAUGUC
rnacentral:lncRNA from 1 species